AACAUAAACAAAGUAAUAGGAAGGCUUAAAUAUGAUCAUAGUGGCUGAACCUUAAAAUGCUAGCCAUUAUGAAAUCAACAUAAACAAUCGUCUAUUUGCAGAAACCGAAAAAACCAAAAUAUGAACACUUGGAAAGGCAGUAUAUAUAACUAAAUAUCAGAAGAAUAAGUCCAUAAAUGAUAGAUACCCAUUUGGAGACAUUAUCAAAAAAGAGUCAUAAUGUUAAUUUGGCCUGAAUGUAGAAACCUCAAAUCAUCACCGGACUUGUCUGUGUGUCUAUCUUCGUUUGCUGUUCCAUGAUAGUUAUAUCUGUACGAUAAAAUUUAGAAAUCAUUUAGCAAUGAGGAAGUGUAAGAAUAAAUGGUAGAUUUAGUUAUGUGAAAAUAAAGAUUUGCAUCAGGAAAUUUAGCUCUAAAAAUAGAUGCAAGUAAUCGGAAUCUGAAUUAAUGAACCACAUCUAAGGGAAUACCCAUUAGCAGCUUGUAUAUAUCAUGCUAAAAAUCAUUAGAGAUGAUGGUCUCUUAAAAAAGCUUAGGAAAUCAUGACUAGAAAGAAAAUCAUUUUCCUAAAAUGACAACAAUUCAUUCUUGAACUAACUCCUGAACAUUGUAAUCAGUUGUAAGCUAAUACCUCUGUUUGCAUAUGAAUUGUAAAUCAUAUUAGUGUAUCUAUUUGUUUUGAUAGCUAAACACCCACAAAUGCUUGGCAAGGCUAUAGUGGGCAGAUAGAUGUUGCUUCAUCAAUCACUCAAGCCAAAAGUUUGUACCUUCUGCCAGCAGCAAUCUGAGCCUUGGAAUUUUUUUACCAUAACUGGCUAAUCUUUCAGUUUUGUCAAACCAUUAUUACCAAAUUAAGUGCAAUUUUUUUGCAUGAAGGAUUUUGAGGAAUUUGCAAAAUCAAAUAAAUUUAAAAGUAAACUGAAUAGGCAAUACUUGUAAAUUGAAAACUCACAUCACAGUGAAAAGAGAAAAGUUCCAUUUGAUAUGAUGAUGAAAGUCAUGAAACCACUGCCACAGAGCUUAGAAAUUACAAAUACACAAUUUAUUUGUUGUGAACUGCAAUUCAUUGAGAUAACCACAACAACAAAUUACAGAGAGAGAUGUAAUGGAUGAUGAGUUGGGGAAGAAAGAAAAGGAUUACGGUGGAGAGAGAUUGCAGAACACCACAUGAGAAUAAAGAAUAGCACGUAACUACGUACUAUGACUGCUGGUGAGCGGUUAUGUUCCCAGAGUAUUACCCACCGACAGAUUAGACUAUUUUGUUGAGAUCGAUGUAUG
rnacentral:lncRNA from 1 species